GAAGCGUAGUGUCGUCUUUGACGGGUGGCAUUUCCGCCGCUCAAACUGGUGCUAGAACCAGUGCGGGCCAAUUCGAGUUCCAUACCGAGAUCCUGUCAUUAGAUACGAAAUUGAUACAGUUUAGGCCCCGUAACCAGAACUUGAUUAUGCCGUGUGCCUCGAAUUCACUCAAUAUUCAUGGCCGACCCGCUAUCUGUGAUUCAUUGACUGCAAGAAACACGAACUCCGUUUUCUGAUUUACGUUGAUGAUCAGCUAUUUAUAUGGGGAAGGAGUUCCACUUCAUCUAACAGGCAUGUAGAUAUUUUGGUUAAAAAAAGGAAAAAAAGAAGUGUGAUUCUAAUUGUAAACUAGAGGCUUCUGAAAAACGAGCAAACAAGAUCAAAAACCUAUUACAACUUUGGUUAUCGAGGUGAUCCGGAGGAUUAGUCACACGUCUUGCCGAAAAGAAGGGAUCGAUUAUUUCCUGAUGUCUUUUUUUCGCCAAAGAUAUUACAAGACUAGUGCAUUGUCUGGCCAAACAAAAGUUAAGGGUUCAGUGCAAGUCACGAAGAGCAAAAGGAUCGAAAAAGUGUUUUAUACGCAUUAGCAUUUAGAUGUGUGGUUGAAACCAGUUUUGCAAUCGAUGAACGAAAUCGAAAUUGUUUUCUGCUUUUGUGGUGGAAGAUGGCGACAUGACGUGAGUGCCAGUAUAACAUUCUGUGAAACCCCUUUUCUCUCCACACCCCUUUUGCGACAAAACCGAUUCCAACUUGUUUUCAGCUGACGCAAAAAUAUCGACCAAACGCUGACCAGACGCCACGAAUGAACCACUGCUGUAUAAUGCGAAUCUUUGUGGCUUUUUUUUUGACGAUCUACUGACCAAGACACAUGUGAUGAUGAAUUGGUUUGUGUGGCACGAGCCAAAGCAAUGCCAGAAAGAAUGAAACCACCCUCCGAGACGAGGAAACGACAUCUCAAUAGAUCAAACGAGAAUGAGAAGACAAAUAAAACAAAGAAGUUUACUACUGUCAAUCUAGAUGUGAAAAGGGAAGAUAAGAAUCCACUUACCCGUCGGGAGAUGUCAUAAUCUUUGACCAAACAUCGCUCACUCGACAACCUAAAAACUAUUGUGACUUUUCUCGUUUUCUGCAGCCGACGCACACGCCUAUAGAUUGUAGACAACAAAUUUGUUUUGUCGACUCGACGGAUUCCCAAGCCAUCUACCGUGAAAUUUUAUGACUAUCUUACCAAGGUCACGGCAUGCGGGUUAUCACGGUUUCACUUUUGGAAAGUUUUCAAUUGAAAUAAAAAUGCAGUAAACAUUUCUAUUAGCUGCAUCUGACUGCACCUUGAGCACUGAGUUCUGCGUUUUCAUAAAUUUCGCAUUAUUAUUGCGCUAGCGAUUGCUUUAUUGCGGCAUUUUAACGCGACUGUGUAAAUAAAAUGUGGAAUUAAACGUCCAACUAUUAGA